UAUGCAAGGAAAAAUUUAAGUGCAAUAA
rnacentral:sRNA from 1 species